AUGGAGUUAAAAGAUCAGUUUUUCUCAUUUUUCGCAGCAAAUGAAUAUAUACGAUAUAUAAAGUUCAGAUAGAAUUCUUUUCCAUCGUCAUGAUUUUCAUCGUUUGGUACGAGUUAUAGUCCUUCGGUGUGAAUUCAACUAUUUGCAUGGCCGGGGAAAUAAGGUUUCCGCUGAUAAAGUCUUUCGAGCACGCUGGGUUGAUCUGCUACGGGAUACUACCAAGAUUUAAUUUUUGGAUUCUUACUUUUUUUGCUUUUCCAGUCCCCUUAUUAUUCUGUUUAUCGAUAUUUUUUUAAAGAGUUUUUUUUUUUUGAAGCAUGCUAAAGAGUUUUUAUUAAUCGCUCAUAUGAUAAGAUGUCAGGAUCCAUUUCAAGGUGAAGUUCUUCUCGGUGAUGAGUUAAUGUACAACAUCGUUGGAGGUUUUUUUGGAUCUGAUCUUGCUAGCUUUGAAAUCAUGAAUAAUGAGUGGGGUUUGUUCUACGGAGACUACUGUGAGUGUGAACAAAUUCAUAAUGGUUGAUGCUUUACCUUUCUUCA